rnacentral:rRNA from 1 species
AGUCCCGCAACGAGCGCAACCCUUAUCCUUAGUUGCCAGCACGUAAUGGUGGGAACUCUAAGGAGACUGCCGGUGACAAACCGGAGGAAGGUGGGGACGACGUCAAGUCAUCAUGGCCCUUACGAGAUGGGCUACACACGUGCUACAAUGGCAAGUACAAAGGGUUGCAAACUCGCGAGAGUAAGCGGAUCCCAUAAAGCUUGUCGUAGUCCGGAUUGGAGUCUGCAACUCGACUCCAUGAAGUCGGAAUCGCUAGUAAUCGUGGAUCAGAAUGCCACGGUGAAUACGUUCCCGGGCCUU